AAGUCGUAACAAGGUUUUCGUAGGUGAACCUGCGGAAGGAUCAUUAGAGAAUUUAAUGGGAGUCCCUCUUAACCGGAGAAGGCCCAGUUCUACUAUUUCAAACCCUAGUGCAUUUGUCCCCUUUUUUUAAUUACCCUUUUAACCCUUUUUGCAUUUGAAAAGGUUGUUGUGUUUAACACAUUUUGAUAAAUGAAAGAAAAACUUUCAGCAAUGGAUCUCUUGGCUCUCG
rnacentral:misc_RNA from 1 species